GCCGCCUGAAUCCUUCUUUCUCUGUUUCUUCCUUUUUCUCUGUCUCACGCGACCGACCGCCGCCCGCAGCAACCGCGCCGCCGCUCCCUGGGCCGCCCAGCUCCCGCGCCGCCAGCCGCGCGGAGCACCCACGCCGCUGCUCCCCGGCCACCCCUGCGCCGCCCAGCGCCCCAGCGUCGCCCGCCCGCCCUCGCCCAGCGCCGGCCGCCCGUGCCGCCACGAGCCGCCACCGUCGUCCGCCGCCGUUCUAAGCUUCCGUCGACCAGCCGUGGCCAAGCCCUCCUCGUGCAACCACUCCGCCGUCGUCGCCAAGCUCUUCCCCAUCGAAAGAUAUUCUAUGUUUACCGGUGUGAUCGAUUCGACAGAAUUGCGUUCUCGUGGCGGCUCUUCGUCGCAGGCGGGUUGUGGUAGUAGCAGCCAUAGUCGGAGCUAUGUACUAGCAUGGAGGACGCUAUGAGGGAGCAGCAAGAAAGGUUUCGUGAAGAGCUGCGGCAACAACAAAUAACAUUUCUCCAACAGCAAUUAGAGUACAUGGCUGCUUACAACGCACAGGCGCAACAAGCAAUGAACGCACAACAGCAAUCAUUUGUUUUCCCUCAAUUUUAGUCGUCGAUGCCACAGUGGGGAUUACAUGCUCCGCCACCUCCACCUCAGGGAUCCGGGGUCAUGGGCCACAACACGCCACCACCGGUGAUACCAUCACCAGGAGGAGCUUAUGCAGGGGAGGGAGCUACUACAGGAGAGAAUCCAAACCCGUUACACGACUUCGUCAACGAGUUUUUUGCUUAUGGAGGUAGUGGUCACAACUUCAACAACCCCGAUAUGUGAUGGUUUGAGUUUUUCGCUUCUGGAGGGAGUUAUUAUGUUGUAAUGAACUAUUUGUGAACUGUGAUGUUGUAUUUGUGAACUUUGAUGUGGUGAACCAUUUGUGAACUUAAUGUUGGUAAACUACAAUGUGGUUGUGAAGAAGUGUGAUACAAUAUGGUCUAAUGUUUAUGUCAUUUUAUUG